rnacentral:rRNA from 1 species
GACGAACGCUGGCGGCGUGCUUAACACAUGCAAGUCGAACGGUAAGGCCCUUCGGGGUACACGAGUGGCGAACGGGUGAGUAACACGUGGGUGAUCUGCCCUGCACUUCGGGAUAAGCCUGGGAAACUGGGUCUAAUACCGGAUAGGCCUCCUGGCUUCAUGGUUGGGGGUGGAAAGCUUUUGCGGUGUGGGAUGGGCCCGCGGCCUAUCAGCUUGUUGGUGGGGUAAUGGCCUGCCAAGGCGACGACGGGUAGCCGGCCUGAGAGGGUGACCGGUCACACUGGGACUGAGAUACGGCCCAGACUCCUACGGGAGGCAGCAGUGAGGAAUAUUGCACAAUGGGCGCAAGCCUGAUGCAGCGACGCCGCGUGAGGGAUGACGGCCUUCGGGUUGUAAACCUCUUUCAGCUAUGACGAAGCGCAAGUGACGGUAGUAGCAGAAGAAGGACCGGCCAACUACAUGCCAGCAGCCGCCGUAA